rnacentral:rRNA from 1 species
UACGUAGGGCGAAAGCGUUAUCCGGAAUUAUUGGGCGUAAAGAGCUCGUAGGCGGUUUGUCGCGUCUGCCGUGAAAGUCCGGGGCUCAACUCCGGAUCUGCGGUGGGUACGGGCAGACUAGAGUGAUGUAGGGGAGACUGGAAUUCCUGGUGUAGCGGUGAAAUGCGCAGAUAUCAGGAGGAACACCGAUGGCGAAGGCAGGUCUCUGGGCAUUAACUGACGCUGAGGAGCGAAAGCAUGGGGAGCGAACAGG